UACGUAGGGAGCGAGCGUUGUCCGGAUUUACUGGGUGUAAAGGGCGUGUAGGCGGAGCUGCAAGUCAGAAGUGAAAUCUCCGGGCUCAACCCGGAAACUGCUUUUGAAACUGUAGCCCUUGAGUAUCGGAGAGGCAGGCGGAAUUCCUAGUGUAGCGGUGAAAUGCGUAGAUAUUAGGAGGAACACCAGUGGCGAAGGCGGCCUGCUGGACGACAACUGACGCUGAGGCGCGAAAGCGUGGGGAGCAAACAGG
rnacentral:rRNA from 1 species